UACGGAGGGGGCAAGCGUUGUUCGGAAUCACUGGGCGUAAAGCGCGUGUAGGCGGCCGGGCAAGUCGGAUGUGAAAUCCCGAGGCUCAACCUCGGAACUGCAUUCGAAACUGCUCGGCUCGAGUCCCGGAGAGGGUGGCGGAAUUCCCGGUGAAGGGGUGAAAUCCGUAGAUAUCGGGAUGAACACCAGUGGCGAAGGCGGCCAUCUGGACGUUGACUGACGCUUAGACGCGAAAGCGUGGGUAGGAAACAGG
rnacentral:rRNA from 1 species